rnacentral:rRNA from 1 species
GGGAAUAUUGCACAAUGGGGGAAACCCUGAUGCAGAAACGCCGCGUGAAGGAAGACGGUUUUCGGAUUGUAAACUUCUAUCAAUAGGGAAGAAAGAAAUGACGGUACCUAAAUAAGAAGCCCCGGCUAACUACGUGCCAGCAGCCGCGGUAAUACGUAGGGGGCAAGCGUUAUCCGGAUUUACUGGGUGUAAAGGGAGCGUAGACGGCUGUGCAAGCCAGAUGUGAAAGCCCGGGGCUCAACCCCGGGACUGCAUUUGGAACUGUGUGGCUGGAGUGUCGGAGAGGCAGGCGGAAUUCCUAGUGUAGCGGUGAAAUGCGUAGAUAUUAGGAGGAACACCAGUGGCGAAGGCGGCCUGCUGGACGAUGACUGACGUUGAGGCUCGAAAGCGUGGGGAGCAAACAGG